rnacentral:rRNA from 1 species
CAGCAGCCGCGGAAUACGGAGGGGGCUAGCGUUGUUCGGAAUUACUGGGCGUAAAGCGCACGUAGGCUGCUUUGUAAGUCAGAGGUGAAAGCCCGGGGCUCAACCCCGGAUGUGCCUUUGAGACUGCAGGGCUAGAACGUCGGAGAGGUGAGUGGAAUUCCGAGUGUAGAGGUGAAAUUCGUAGAUAUUCGGAAGAACACCAGUGGCGAAGGCGGCUCACUGGACAACUGUUGACGCUGAGGUGCGAAAGCGUGGGGAGCAAACAGGAUUAGAUACCCCCGUAGUCCCUGUCUCUUAUACC